CUAUACUGUGUUUAACCGUGUCUGAAAAACAUUGGUUGACUGAUAUCAGUAGUACAUCAUUUGUGGCGCAGCAUCAUUUGUGGCGUGUACAGUAGUACAGCAUCAUUUGUGGCAUGCCCCGCUCACUCUAAUAAAAAACAUGUAAUCGUAUUUAUUUUCCUUUCAUUUAGUCAGAGGCGCUGAUGUCGGCAUUGUGAUUGGUGGAAUCUGUAAUCUGUGUUCGUGUGCUUUCGUUCGUUGUCGUUCAGUUAUUUUAUAUGGUGUUAUGUGAUGUGUUUGUGUCACCAUAAAAAGCUGAUAUUCAGUCUUGUUUUUUGAUAUUUUGUAAUCGAGUACCUUUUUAAAGGUCUAAUGGCUCCGUUCAGCUGUUGUGUGCAGACGGUGGAAAAGUUCAACAAGUAAACGUUUAUUUAAUCUAAAUUAAAUACUCAUAUUUCUAUGUAAAAUGUCACAUUAUUUUAUAAAUAAAUAAGUAAGAAACAAA